rnacentral:rRNA from 1 species
UCGCAAGAUUGGAACUCAAAGGAAUUGACGGGGGCCUACAACAAGUGGUGGAGCAUGUGGUUUAAUGCGAUAAUCCGCGCAAAACCUUACCAACCCUUGACAUAGAAAAUAAACAAUUUUAGUUUUUUUAAAUCCUUGAAAUUGUUAAGUUUUUUACAGGUGUUGCACGACUGUCGUCAGCUCGUGUCGUAAGAUGUUUGGUUCAUUCCUUUAACGAGCGCAACUCUUGUCUUUAUCACGUAUUUUACUUUUUAAAAUAAUUUUUAUUUUUAAAGCUUUAUAUGACACUAUCAAUGAUAAAUUGAAGGAAGGUGAGAAUCAAGUCAAGUCCCUGUGGCCCUUAUGGGUUGGGCUACACACGUGCUACAAUGGAAAUUACAAUAAGUUACAAAAAUUUUAUUUAAGUUAAUCUUUAAAAGUUUUCUUAGUUCGGAUUACAAACUGCAACUCGUUUGUAUGAAGUUGGAAUCACUAGUAAUCGCAAAUCAGCAUGUUGCGGUGAAUAUGUAUCUUGGCCUUGUACACACCGCCCGUCACAUGCAGAGAGUUAAUUUUACUUGAAGUUUUCGUUUCAAUAUUGAAAAUUUGAUUUUUAAUUUGUUGAAAACCAUUGCGAAAUUAAUAAUUUGGAUG